rnacentral:rRNA from 1 species
AAUCAACGCUGGCGGCGUGCCUCAGACAUGCAAGUCGAACGCGAAAGUCCCUCGGGGACGAAGUAGAGUGGCGCACGGGUGAGUAACACGUAGGUAAUCUACCUUUGGAUGGGGAAGUAACAACCGGAAACGGUUGCUAAUACCGCAUAAUGCAGCGGCACCUAAUGGUGACAGUUGUUAAAGCGGGGGAUCGAAAGACCUCGCGUCUAAAGAGGAGCCUGCGGCGGAUUAGCAGUUGGUAAGGUAAUGGCUUACCAAGGCUACGAUCCGUAACCGGCCUGAGAGGGCGGUCGGUCACACUGACACUGACAUACGGGUCAGACUCCUACGGGAGGCAGCAGUCGGGAAUUUUGGGCAAU